AUGACCACCGCCGAGCCUCCCAUUCCGCCGUCGCCGACCAGCCCUCGCGACAGGGUGCGGCGACGGCAGUGCGCGCUCGCGCUGGCUGCCGCGGCCGCCGCCUGCCUGGCGCCGGUGGCCGUGCUCCUGGCGGUGCUCGUCCUCGCGCCCUCGCUCCUCCCACGGCUGCUCCUCCGGCCUCACCACGUCGUCCCCUACGUUUCCUCCGCCGAGCUCCGCCUCCUCGCCUUUGACCCCGCCGCAUCCGCCGUCUCCUACAACCUCUCCGCCACGCUCAGGUUCGACAGCCCGUGCCUCUACUGCACAUGGCGGUACACGGAGCUCAAAGCCACGCCGUCCUACGCCGGGCAGCAGCUGGGCGCCGGCGCGGAGCUGCCGGAGCUCACGCAGCGGAGGGGCAGCGACGCGCGCGACAUUGCGUGGGCGGGGGCGCAGAAAGUGCCGCCCGGCCGGCGCGCCCGCGCAGUUGCCGCGGCGCUCGCGCGGGAGGAGGCCGAGGGGCGGCUCAGCGUCAAGGUGGCGGUGAGCACCGUGCAGAACGGCGCGCGGAGCGACUUCGCGUGCGUGCUGAGCUUCCCUGCUGUGUCUGCGCCGCGGCGCGGAGGGACCGGGAGCCCCGCCGCCGCGGUGUUCGACGGCGGCAGGUGCGUCGACGCUGUGCCUGGCGAGAUCUAG
rnacentral:rRNA from 1 species